AACUGUAGUAAUUCUAGAGCUAAUACAUGCCACUAUGCCCUGACCCGCAAGGGAACGGGUGGAUUUAUUAGAACAGAACCAACCGGUGGCGGCUCCGGCUGCUGCUGUUGCAUUCUGUGAUGACUCUGGAUAACUUUACUGAUCGCAGUCGGCCUUGAGUCGGCGACGGAUCUUUCAAAUGUCUGCCCUAUCAAUUUUCGAUGGUAGGUGACCUGCCUACCAUGGUGAUAACGGGUAACGGGGAAUCAGGGUUCGAUUCCGGAGAGGGAGCCUGAGAAACGGCUACCACUUCCAAGGAAGGCAGCAGGCGCGCAAAUUACCCAAUCCCGGCACGGGGAGGUAGUGACGAAAAAUACGGAUACGGGACUCGUUAGAGGCUCCGUAAUUCGAAUGAGUACACUUUAAAUCCUUUAACGAGGAUCAACUGGAGGGCAAGUCUGGUGCCAGCAGCCGCGGUAACUCCAGCUCCAGAAGCGUAUAUUAAAGUUGUUGCAGUUAAAAAGCUCGUAGUUGGAUCUGGGUCGCAUGGCUACAUGCUGUUGCUUGUAUUCCUGGCCUGGUUUACACUGGGACGGGUUUACGGGUCGGCGUCGUGGUUGUGCAGCCUUUCUGCCGUGUCUGUUUCGACAGGUGUUGGCAUGAUUGGUGGGUUCGUCCUGCCGGUCUGUUGACAUGCUCCCAGGUGCCCUUUACUGGGUGUC
rnacentral:rRNA from 12 species